AAAUUGAAGAGUUUGAUCAUGGCUCAGAUUGAACGCUGGCGGCAGGCCUAACACAUGCAAGUCGAACGGUAGCACAGAGAGCUUGCUCUCGGGUGACGAGUGGCGGACGGGUGAGUAAUGUCUGGGAAACUGCCUGAUGGAGGGGGAUAACUACUGGAAACGGUGGCUAAUACCGCAUAACGUCGCAAGACCAAAGAGGGGGACCUUCGGGCCUCUUACCAUCAGAUGUGCCCAGAUGGGAUUAGCU
rnacentral:rRNA from 1 species